rnacentral:lncRNA from 1 species
AGCCACAAAAAGUCAACCUUGAGCCAAGCAGAGUGGAGAGUCAUACUGGCCAUUCCUGGGACCAUCAAAAAUGGCAGAGGUCACACAAAAGGCAAAACCUUUAAGAGGUGUUUUAAACAUCGUAUGGGCCAAAGAGAAUCUGGAUUUCCUAUUGCAGUCAGCUGUAACACACGUGUGACAAAUUGGGCUGUGAGGACAAGGCAGUGAGUAGAGACGACAGCAGUCCUUAUGAGAUCAAGCUCUAAGGCCUGGAGUGCAGUGGAGCAAUCUCAGCUCACUGCAGCCUCUUCCUCCCGGAUUCAAGUGAUUCUCCUGCUUCAGACUCCCGAGUAGCUGGGAUUACAGUUUUGAGAAGAAUGCAAAGAAGAAGGGAAGAGUGAGCCUCUCUUUUCCCAUCGUUACCCUCCAUUGUCCUCUUGACACCCUGCUUUUGCAGACAGAGAGUUUGAGACCCUCUCCCAGGAGCCAAGGAGAGGGGAACAGCUGGCUUCACAUCAUCUUUCUAUUCAACAAGACACAAAAAGCUGAAGCCAGGAUGAUAGAAAAGCAACAAAGAAGACACGGUCCUUACUCAUUUCCCUUCCCGCUUCAGAGCAAAUAUGGUGCCUGGUGUUCGAAGGGAGAACUUGUGGGCAG